rnacentral:rRNA from 1 species
UACGGAGGGGGGCUAGCGUUGUUCGGAAUUACUGGGCGUAAAGCGCACGUAGGCGGCUUUGUAAGUUAGAGGUGAAAGCCCGGGGCUCAACUCCGGAAUUGCCUUUAAGACUGCAUCGCUAGAAUUGUGGAGAGGUAAGUGGAAUUCCGAGUGUAGAGGUGAAAUUCGUAGAUAUUCGGAAGAACACCAGUGGCGAAGGCGACUUACUGGACACAUAUUGACGCUGAGGUGCGAAAAGCGUGGGGGAGCAAACAGG